CAAUAGCGUAUAUUAAAGUUGUUGCGGUUAAAAAGCUCGUAGUUGGAUUUCUGCUGAGAACGACCGGUCCGCCCUUUGGGUGUGUAUCUGGCUCUUUCUUGGCAUCUUCUUGGUGAACGUUGCUGCACUUGACUGUGUGGAGCGCUACCCAGGACUUUUACUUUGAGGAAAUUAGAGUGUUUCAAGCAGGCAUACGCCUUGAAUACAUUAGCAUGGAAUAAUAAGAUAGGACCUCGGUUCUAUUUUGUUGGUUUCUAGAGCUGAGGUAAUGAUUAAUAGGGAUAGUUGGGGGCAUUCGUAUUUAACUGUCAGAGGUGAAAUUCUUGUAUUUGUUAAAGACGGACUACUGCGAAAGCAUUUGCCAAGGAUGUUUUCAUUG
rnacentral:rRNA from 1 species